rnacentral:rRNA from 1 species
GGAUUUCGGUUCGUAAAACUCUGUUGUAAGGGAAGAACAAGUACAGUAGUAACUGGCUGUACCUUGACGGUACCUUAUUAGAAAGCCACGGCUAACUACGUGCCAGCAGCCGCGGUAAUACGUAGGUGGCAAGCGUUGUCCGGAAUUAUUGGGCGUAAAGCGCGCGCAGGUGGUUUCUUAAGUCUGAUGUGAAAGCCCACGGCUCAACCGUGGAGGGUCAUUGGAAACUGGGAGACUUGAGUGCAGAAGAAGAUAGUGGAAUUCCAAGUGUAGCGGUGAAAUGCGUAGAGAUUUGGAGGAACACCAGUGGCGAAAGCGACUAUCUGGUCUGUAACUGACACUGAAGCGCGAAAGCGUGGGGAGCAAACAGGAUUAGAUACCCUGGUAGUCCACGCCGUAAACGAUGAGUGCUAAGUGUUAGGGGGUUUCCGCCCCUUAGUGCUGCAGCUAACGCAUUAAGCACUCCGCCUGGGGAGUACGGUCGCAAGACUGAAACUCAAAGGAAUUGACGGGGGCCCGCACAAGCGGUGGAGCAUGUGGUUUAAUUUGAAGCAACGCGAAGAACCUUACCAGGUCUUGACAUCCCGUUGACCACUGUAGAGAUAUGGUUUCCCCUUCGGGGCAACGGUGACAGGUGGUGCAUGGUUGUCGUCAGCUCGUGUCGUGAGAUGUUGGGUUAAGUCCCGCAACGAGCGCAACCCUUGAUCUUAGUUGCCAUCAUUUAGUUGGGCACUCUAAGGUGACUGCCGGUGACAAACCGGAGGAAGGUGGGGAUGACGUCAAAUCAUCAUGCCCCUUAUGACCUGGGCUACACACGUGCUACAAUGGACGAUACAAACGGUUGCCAACUCGCGAGAGGGAGCUAAUCCGAU